rnacentral:rRNA from 1 species
ACGGGAGGCAGCAGUGGGGAGUAUUGCACAAUGGGCGAAAGCCUGAUGCAGCAACGCCGCGUGAGUGAAGAAGUAUUUCGGUAUGUAAAGCUCUAUCGAUGGGGAAUAAGAUGAAGGUACCCAAGUAAGAAGCCCUGGCUAACUACGUGCCAGCAGCCGCGGUAAUACGUAGGGGGCAAGCGUUAUCCGGAUUUACUGGGUGUAAAGGGAGCGUAGACGGCAAAGCAAGUCUGAAGUGAAAUCCCGGGGCUCAACCCUGGAACUGCUUUGGAAACUGUUUAGCUAGAGUGCAGGAGAGGUAAGUGGAAUUCCUAGUGUAGCGGUGAAAUGCGUAGAUAUUAGGAGGAACACCAGUGGCGAAGGCGGCUUACUGGACUGUAACUGACGUUGAGGCUCGAAAGCGUGGGGAGCAAACAGGAUUAGAUACCCUGGUA